GGAGGACUCGCAUAGCGGCCGAGUGCACCGGUCUUGAAAACCGGCAAGGGAAACCUUCGUGGGUUCAAAUCCCACGUCCUCCG
rnacentral:tRNA from 5 species